rnacentral:rRNA from 1 species
GAGUUUGAUCUUGGCUCAGAUUGAACGCUGGCGGCAUGCCUUACACAUGCAAGUCGAACGGCAGCGCGGGGCAACCUGGCGGCGAGUGGCGAACGGGUGAGUAAUAUAUCGGAACGUACCCUGGAGUGGGGGAUAACGUAGCGAAAGUUACGCUAAUACCGCAUACGAUCCAUGGAUGAAAGCAGGGGACUGCAAGGCCUUGUGCUCCAGGAGCGGCCGAUAUCUGAUUAGCUAGUUGGCGGGGUAAAAGCCCACCAAGGCAUCGAUCAGUAGCUGGUCUGAGAGGACGACCAGCCACACUGGAACUGAGACACGGUCCAGACUCCUACGGGAGGCAGCAGUGGGGAAUUUUGGACAAUGGGCGCAAGCCUGAUCCAGCAAUGCCGCGUGAGUGAAGAAGGCCUUCGGUUGUAAG